GAUGAAGAACGUAGCGAAAUGCGAUAAGUAAUGCGAAUUGCAGAAUUCAGUGAAUCAUCGAAUCUUUGAACGCACGUUGCGCCCGCUAGUAUUCUGGCGGGCAUGCCUGUCUGAGCGUCAUUUCAACCCUCGCCCCCGGCUUUUGCUGGGAGCGGUGUUGGGGAUCGGCCGCCCGUCACUGGGAGGCCGGCCCCGAAAUAGAGUGGCGACCACGCCGUGUGCUCCUCUGCGUAGUAGUAAAUCACCUCGCAGGCGGACAGCGGUGCGGCCUGCCGUAAAACCCCCAACUCUUUCUGGUUGACCUCAGAUCAGGUAGGAAUACCCGCUGAACUUAAGCAUAUCAAUAAGCGGAGGA
rnacentral:misc_RNA from 1 species